CCGAAAAAUGGGUUUUGGCCUACAUCGGAGUUAAAUGGAGAAGUUGGAAGCAUUAUUUGAAAAAACAAGUUAUUGGGCUGAUGUACCUAUCGAGCACUUAAUACAUGACAAGGAUGAUAGAGUUUUGGAAGAUCAAUGGAUCAAAUGUCUUGCUUACUGGAGAAGGGAAGAUGCAAAGAAUAUAAGUAUGAGAAACCAAAAAGCUCGAUCAAAGAAGUUAAUGAAUCAAAGAACAUGACAGACGUUAUUUGUGCAAGUUAAAGACACAUUGAUUUGCAGGUUGGCAGAUAUCCUCGGCGUCUAAUAAGUCUGUUUUUCCGCUUGCUGUAUCCGUGGUAUUGGCCCGCGUCUUGUUAAAAUUCUGUAGUUUCUACAAGCUGUAUGUGUUUUGGUUGUAUAUAUCCGUGUGGAACAGUGGAAGUGUGGCU